rnacentral:rRNA from 1 species
UACGGGGGGGGCAAGCGUUGUUCGGAAUUACUGGGCGUAAAGGGCUCGUAGGUGGCCAACUAAGUCAGACGUGAAAUCCCUCGGCUUAACCGGGGAACGGCGUCUGAUACUGGAUGGCUUGAGUUCGGGAGAGGGAUGCGGAAUUCCAGGUGUAGCGGUGAAAUGCGUAGAUAUCUGGAGGAACACCGGUGGCGAAGGCGGCAUCCUGGACCAACACUGACGCUGAGGAGCGAAAGCCAGGGGAGCAAACGGG